UUAGUAGUAAAUUAAGAAUAGAGAGC
rnacentral:piRNA from 2 species